GAUGAACGCUGGCGGCGUGCCUAAUACAUGCAAGUCGAACGCAGUGGGGACGGGUGAGUAACACGUGGGUAACCUCCCAUCAGAUGGGAUAACACUUGGAAACAGCUGCUCAACCGAUACAUCUUGUUGGACCGGCGUGGCAUUAGCAAGUUGGUGAGGAAACGGCUCAGCAACGCCACGACGCAAAGCCGACCGUAGAGGUUGAUCGGCCAGACUGGGACUGGGAGACGGCCCAGACUCUUACGGGAGGCAGCAGUAGGGAAUAUUCGGCAAUGGACGAAAGUCGGACCGAGCAACGCCGCGUGAGUGAAGAAGGUUUUCGGAUCGUAAAACGCUGUUGUUAGAGAAGCGGAAGCUAACGAGAAAGCCACGGCUAACUACGUGCCAGCAGACGCGGUAAUUG
rnacentral:rRNA from 1 species